CAUUGAUCUAGAAGUCUGGGGUUAUCUAGGUCCAAGCUGGUACAUUGAUCUAGAGGUCUGUGGUUAUCAAGGUCCCAGGUGGUACAUUGAUCUAGAAGUCUGUGGUUAUCAAGGUCCCAGGUGGUACAUUGAUCUAGAAGUCUGGGGUUAUCUAGGUCCAAGCUGGUACAUUGAUCUAGAGGUCUGUGGUUAUCAAGGUCCCAG